UUUUUUUUUUUUUUUUUUUUUUUUUUUGCUAUUGAACAAGUGAGGUACUCUCAUUCAUUACUUGCUAAAUUUCAUUCUAUUGUUACUUUUCUUACACUUGCCUUGGGCUUUCCUGUUGGUCCAUGACCUUGUUGGUCACUAAACCCAUGCCCUCUAGGAUGCCAGCAACAGUCUGAAGUAGCCAUCACAAUGACGUGGAAGCGCGGACUAUCCUAGGGAAGGACAGGUCGGAAGUGGAAGCAGAUAUUGUGCAGUUUCAAUAUUGACUCAUGUGGGCCGUGCAUUUUGUUCACUGAAUGAGUGAAUAAAUAAAAUUAAGCGACAGAAAUCUAAAACUUAUUUUAUGCCUCUAAAUGAGUCAAGAUCAUGUGUAUAAUCUUUGUCUCAUUUUUUUCACUCUUGAAACUUACAGUUUGGUAGACCCAUAGUCCUGAAUGUCUGCAUCAUUGAUGUGGCAUAUACCACAAUCAGUUCAGUUCUUUUCAGUCAGCAUUUUUGAGCGCCUGCUCCAUGCUGGGAACUCCACUAGUGCUAGAGGUAAAAUUGGAGCAAGGCAAGGUCCCUAAUGGGUCCUCCUCCUCGCGAGGUAGUUGUAUGAACACAGGAUAUUCUAUAGCACAGUACGUGCAGUAACGAUGAGUGUGAAGUCAGGGGAUCUCAGUCCUACCAGGGGAGGAGAGCCAGCCGCUGCUGAGAAGAUGACUUCUGAGCUGGGCGUUGAGGAAGGAGAUAGCAGGCAGAUUGACAGACUUAGGGAAGAGGGCAGAAGGACAGCAUGUGCAAGAUGUGGGGAUAUUUUCUGGCAAGAGUGAUUGAGUUGGUGUAUUUAAAAUGCAGCAUUUAAAGGGUUAGGGCGGCUGUAGAGGAAACUAGAAAGGUAGGCUGAGUGCAUGAAGGUCUGUGUACCUGGCUAAAAGAUAUGAACUUACUGUCCUAUUUGUCUAUAAGUGUUCUCUCCCUGAUUAGAUAAUGGUCAGCCUCUGGGGAGCAGGGAUUGGGCCUCAGUCUCAUACUGGGUAUACGGUAGGUGCUUAAUUAAUAUCUAACAAAUUAAAUAAAUAGCUGGUGAAUUUAUUGAGUGGAUAAGCCUACCAUUUCUUUUCUAUUUUGGAUACCCCCUGCAUCUCUCUCUCUCUCUCUCUCUCUCUCUCUUUCUCUCACACACACACACACACACACACACACACACUGUUCAUCCUGGGAGGGACCUUUAAGAUCAUCUCACCAGAAUACAAAUCUUACUAAGAUAGACACUAAGUGGCUUGCCCAAAGCUGCAAUAUUAGGGGCCAUCAGGGCUGGGUCCUGGGUCUUCUGAAUCCAAGUCAAGUGUGUUUUUACUCCGUCCUGUACCUAUUAAAGUUUUCUGAAAUAACACUAAAAAUCAUCAUGCUUAACCUUUUCCCACUAAGAGUAUAUUUUUAUAUCAAAGAAUGUGAAGAUAAAAAGGCAGUUCUUGUCUGCAAUUUCAAAAGUCUGCUGGUAGAACUUCCUUAAAGUAUAAAGGAAUUUCAGUGGCUACUAUCAUUAUCUGCUAAUAGUUGAUAUUAAAAACACUUUAAUAUAAUCUUUAAAGUCCUAUUAAUUGAAAACUUUGUAAUAUUUGACUUGCUUUGGGAUCCGUAUGCACUUUAAUAGUUUUACUUUUAAAACAAACUGAAUCUUUGGACACGUUGUCACUCUAAAUUGAACAGGAUAAUAAUGGCCCCAAUGUUUUAGAGCUUGGAUACCCCUCCCUUUGUUGGGGUAGAGGGUGGAGAUAAAGCCAAACACACAGAAAAUUGUUUUUAAAAGGUGGUAGCCAGGAGUUCCUGUAAUAGCGCAGCAGAAACAACCCGACUAGUAUCCAGGAGGACGCAAGUUCGAUCCUUGGCCUCACUCAGUAGAUUAAGGUAAGGAUCCAGUGUUGCUGUGAGCUGUGGUAUAGGUCGCAGACGCCUGCUCAGAUCCUGCGUGGCUGUGGCUAUGGUGUAGGUUGGCAGCUGUAGCUCCAAUUUGACCCCUAGCCUGGGAACUUCCAUAUG
ensembl:lncRNA